UUAGUGGCGGACGGGUGAGUAACGCGUGGAAAACCUGCCGUAUACUGGGGGAUAACACUUAGAAAUAGGUGCUAAUACCGCAUAAGCGCACAGCUUCGCAUGAAGCGGUGUGAAAAACUCUGGUGGUAUACGAUGGUUCCGCGUCUGAUUAGCUAGUUGGUGGGGUAAUGGCCUACCAAGGCAACGAUCAGUAGCCGGGCCUGAGAGGGUGAACCGGCCACAUUGGGACUGAGACACGGCCCAAACUCCUACGGAAGGCAGCAG
rnacentral:rRNA from 1 species